rnacentral:rRNA from 1 species
GAUGAACGCUGGCGGCGUGCCUAAUACAUGCAAGUCGAGCGAACAGACGAGGAGCUUGCUCCUCUGACGUUAGCGGCGGACGGGUGAGUAACACGUGGAUAACCUACCUAUAAGACUGGGAUAACUUCGGGAAACCGGAGCUAAUACCGGAUAAUAUAUUGAACCGCAUGGUUCAAUAGUGAAAGACGGUUUUGCUGUCACUUAUAGAUGGAUCCGCGCCGCAUUAGCUAGUUGGUAAGGUAACGGCUUACCAAGGCAACGAUGCGUAGCCGACCAGAGGGUGAUCAGCCACACUGGAACUGAGACACGGUCCAGACUCCUACGGGAGGCAGCAGUAGGGAAUCUUCCGCAAAGGGCGAAAGCUUGACGGAGCAACGCCGCGUGAGUGAUGAAGGUCUUCGGAUCGUAAAACUCUGUUAUUAGGGAAGAACAAAUGUGUAAGUAACUAUGCACGUCUUGACGGUACCUAAACAGAAAGCCACGGCUAACUACGUG